AGUCAGCUGCCAAAUGUUAAAGAACUGGCACCUGCAGAGCGAAAAGUCAUCAUGGUCCCACUUCAGUAUCUACUGGUCAUGGAAGGAAGACUGAGGGGAAAAAAUGUGUGACCUUAUUCAGAGGCCUGCUUCCUCCAUGAGCAAAAAUAGAGAAACUUUCAUACAAUUAUCACAGGGAUUCAAAUGGAAUGAAGCUAAAGAUGGGAUAUUUCAAAAGCAAAUCAGAGGUAUGUGGAAUAGGAGACUUCUUUCAUCCAUUUCUUGCCGGAAAUGGUUAUAAGCCUCUUUACGUCAACUCCAAACUCUUUCUUCUUUAAACUUUAUCAGUACUGUAGUUCAGUUUUUCAGAAAAAAAUCCUAGAUAAAUGUACUGCAAACCACUGCAGUUGUAGUUUCCAUUUUAAAAGCAUGAGUUUAAUACCAA